CUGCAGCGAUCGUUUCAGCAUCACCUUUAUUUCUCGCGUGAGACGCGAGUUGAUGUGUCAAGCCAGGCAGGUAAUCACAUACAGGAAGACCACGGUGCAGCCGGAUACUUCACAAAAAUAAAACUCAGAGGUUUGGCUAUAG